UCAGAGGUUCUUCAGAGAAUGGAUGUUCUGAGUAGUUUGGAAUAUCUGAAUAUUGAUCCUCUGAUACCUGAAAUCUAGACAAACCUUCCACAAGCUCUGACACUUGGUCAGGCUCUUUGUCAUCAAACUUGACAUGCAUAGUUUCUUCCACAGUAUGUGUUUCAAAAAUAUACAGUCUAUAUGCUUUUGAGCGUUCAGAGUAUCCUAUAAAGAUACCCUUAUAACCUCU
rnacentral:lncRNA from 1 species